rnacentral:rRNA from 1 species
CGGAGGGUGCAAGCAUUGAUCGGAAUUACUGGGCGUAAAGGGCGCGUAGGCGGUUAGAUAAGUCAGAUGUGAAAUUCCGGGGCUCAACCCCGGAGCUGCAUUUGAAACUAUUUGACUAGAGGACAGUUAGGGUAAACGGAAUUCCACGUGUAGCGGUGAAAUGCGUAGAUAUGUGGAAGAACACCGGUGGUGAAGACGGUUUACUGGGCUGUAACUGACGCUGAGGCGCGAAAGCUAGGGGAGCAAACAGGAUUAGAUACCCUGGUAGUCCUAGCCUUAAACGAUGUAUACUAGAUGUAGGAGGGCUCAACCCUUUCUGUAUCGGAGCUAACGCAUUAAGUAUACCGCCUGAGGAGUACGCUCGCAAGGGUG